GGUCGAGGGGUAACAGGAGUAGCUUGCUACUUGCCGACGACCGGCGCACGGGUGCGUAACGCGUAUACAAUCUACCUUUUGCUGAGGGAUAGCCCAGAGAAAUUUGGAUUAAGACCUCAUGGUAUGUAGGAAUGGCAUCAUUCUUAUAUUAAAGGUUACGGCAAAAGAUGAGUAUGCGUUCUAUUAGCUAGAUGGUGUGGUAACGGCACACCAUGGCAACGAUAGAUAGGGGCCCUGAGAGGGGGAUCCCCCACACUGGUACUGAGACACGGACCAGACUCCUACGGGAGGCAGCAGUGAGGAAUAUUGGGCAAUGGAGGCAACUCUGACCCAGCCAUGCCGCGUGCAGGAAGACUGCCCUAUGGGUUGUAAACUGCUUUUAUACAGGAAGAAACACUCCCUCGUGAGGGAGCUUGACGGUACUGUAAGAAUAAGGAUCGGCUAACUCCGUGCCAGCAGCCGCGGUAAUACGGAGGAUCCAAGCGUUAUCCGGAAUCAUUGGGUUUAAAGGGUCCGUAGGUGGAUAAUUAAGUCAGAGGUGAAAUCCUGCAGCUCAACUGUAGAAUUGCCUUUGAUACUGGUUAUCUUGAGUUAUUAUGAAGUAGUUAGAAUAUGUAGUGUAGCGGUGAAAUGCAUAGAUAUUACAUAGAAUACCGAUUGCGAAGGCAGAUUACUAAUAAUAUACUGACACUGAGGGACGAAAGCGUGGGGAGCGAACAGGAUUAGAUACCCUGGUAGUCCACGCCGUAAACGAUGGUCACUAGCUGUUCGGAACUUGUUUCUGAGUGGCUAAGCGAAAGUGAUAAGUGACCCACCUGGGGAGUACGUUCGCAAGAAUGAAACUCAAAGGAAUUGAC
rnacentral:rRNA from 1 species